GACUCGUAGUUGAAUUCGAGAUCAAUUGUUGGUCGUGCCUUGGUACGCACUGGCAUUAUUGGUUUCUCCCUUCUGAAGAACCAAGAUGUCAUUAAUUUGGUGUCUUGGGGAAUCAGGACUGUAACUUUGAAAAAAUUAGAGUGUUUAAAGCAGGCUCGCGCUUGAAUACAUUAGCAUGGAAUAAUGAAAUAGGACGUUUGAUUCUAUUUUGUUGGUUUCUAGGAUCGACGUAAUGAUUAAUAGGGAUAGUUGGGGGCAUUAGUAUUCAAUUGUCAGAGGUGAAAUUCUUGGAUUUAUUGAAGACUAACUACUGCGAAAGCAUUUGCCAAGGAUGUUUUCAUUAAUCAAGAACGAAAGUUAGGGGGAUCGAAGACGAUCAGAUACCGUCGUAGUCUUAACCAUAAACUAUGCCGACUAGGGAUCGGAUGAUGUUAAUUUUUUAAUGACUCAUUCGGCGCCUUACG
rnacentral:rRNA from 1 species